rnacentral:rRNA from 1 species
AUGUCGGAGCCCCGUCGGCGUGCUCCUGGAGAUGCAGCCCCUCCUUACGAUGCUUUUGAUGGUCUUUUCUCGGUUGAGAUACAUCACAAAGGUUUCUUUUGUGGAACUGACAACAACAACACCUACAUGGAUUAUGAAGUUGCAUGGUUUGACAACUGUGAUAGUGAUACAUGGUCCUUGUUAUGGAUUGAUGACUUUUUGCAGCAGCUAGGUUAUGACAGAGAUUGUUUGAAGCUUGAUGUGUACUGGUGUCAGCCUGGAAAGACAUUGGUUGAUGGGCUAAGAAAUUUGACAUGUGAUGCAAAUAUCCUUGCAAUGAUAACAACAACUACAGAGCACAAGAACUUGUUACUGAUUGUAGACCAUGGAGAGAGAUUUGACAGUGCUCUCAGAGAUGAUAUUUUACUUGAUGGAGUUCCUGUACUUUCAAAGGUCAUUACUCCAGGAAAAGAAAGCAAGGGAAAAGAGCAAUAUAGCUGUCCCGAGGAGAGAAGUGUGCCAAAUAAGAGGAGGUCUAGGAGGUUUUUUGGGGAAGGUUCAUCCUCAGGUUGUGCUGAUGAAGAAUUGGAGGAAGAAGAUGGAGUAAAUGCAGCUGAAUUAGAGACAGAUGAGGAUUUCUAUGAUAGUGACUAUGACAUAGAAGAUGGGGAUGACGAUCACGACAACUGCUAUGUCAAGUGGAAGAGGUAG